rnacentral:rRNA from 1 species
AUUGAACGCUGGCGGCAGGCCUAACACAUGCAAGUCGAGCGGAUGAAGGGAGCUUGCUCCUGGCUUCAGCGGCGGACGGGUGAGUAAUGCCUAGGAAUCUGCCUGGUAGUGGGGGAUAACGUCCGGAAACGGGCGCUAAUACCGCAUACGUCCUGAGGGAGAAAGUGGGGGAUCUUCGGACCUCACGCUAUCAGAUGAGCCUAGGUCGGAUUAGCUAGUUGGUGGGGUAAAGGCCUACCAAGGCGACGAUCCGUAACUGGUCUGAGAGGAUGAUCAGUCACACUGGAACUGAGACACGGUCCAGACUCCUACGGGAGGCAGCAGUGGGGAAUAUUGCACAAUGGGCGAAAGCCUGAUCGAGCCAUGCCGCGUGAGUGAAGAAGGUCUUCGGAUUGUAAAGCACUGUAAGUUGGGAGGAAGAGAAGUAUAAGUAUAUCUUCCCGUCUUGACGGUACCAACACAAAAAGCCACGGCUAACUUCGUG